GCCGGUGACCACAGCAGCGGGGCCACACCUGAUCCCAUCCCGAACUCAGCAGUUAAGCCCGCUGCGCCGAUGAUACUGCCUCAGCGGGAAAGUAGGUCAUUGCCGGCU
rnacentral:rRNA from 1 species